CGAUAAACAAGCUUGUGGUUGUGUGUGUGUAUGCAUUUGUGCGAAUGCACGAGCUAUAAUAAUAGAGUAGGUUGGUAAAAAGCUAAUAAAACUGACAAAGAUUAUUCCUGGCAUAAGAAGAAGAAGAAAA
rnacentral:lncRNA from 1 species